rfam:Rhizobium sp. Leaf453 contig_6, whole genome shotgun sequence.
UAUUGUAAGUGCCUUCACUCCUCCUCCCAGAGGGCACUUGCGGAAUGGCAACACUCCUCCUCCCAGUUGCCGUUCGGUUCUAUUCGAAAGCCUGCCGCACCUCCUCCCGCGGCAGGCUUUUUCG